GUCGACAAUGUCCAUGCCAAAACGGGUUAUAUUAAAGUUGAAUCCUCUAGCUAUCUCAAUGACCUCCACCUGUUUCAUACAAAAGGGUGGUGCAUUUCCUUGAGCCAGAGGCGGAAGGACAGGAGAAACACUGACAUGGUUGCAGUUAAUGUCUGUUUAAGCAGGGAACUUGGCUUGCCAAGAGAAGGAGAGGAGUGAGAGAGGACAACGGGGAGAUGAGAAUAUUAGAGAAGACAUCAGAACUAUGAUGAAGUGAUGGAGUGCUGCAUCAGAUCACCUGUCCUCCACAAUCACCAGACCUCAACCCAAUUGAGAUGGCUUG
ensembl:lncRNA